UGCCUCAGUAACGGCGAGUGAAGCGGUAACAGCUCAAAUUUGAAAUCUGGCUCUUUCAGGGUCCGAGUUGUAAUUUGUAGAAGAUGCUUCGGGCACGGCUCCGGUUUAAGUCCCUUGGAACAGGGCGUCAUAGAGGGUGAGAAUCCCGUAUGUGACUGGCUGCCGCGCCCAUGUGAAGCUCUUUCGACGAGUCGAGUUGUUUGGGAAUGCAGCUCAAAAUGGGUGGUAAAUUUCAUCUAAAGCUAAAUAUUGGCCAGAGACCGAUAGCGCACAAGUAGAGUGAUCGAAAGAUGAAAAGCACUUUGGAAAGAGAGUUAAACAGUACGUGAAAUUGUUGAAAGGGAAGCGUUUGCAAUUAGACUUGCGCGCGGUCGAUCAUCCGGGGCUCGCCCCCGGUGCACUCGGCCGCGCUCAGGCCAGCAUCGGUUUGGACGGCUGGAUAAAGGCUCCGGGAACGUAGCUUCUUUCGGGGAGUGUUAUAGCCCGGGGCGCCAUGCAGCCCGCCCGGACCGAGGACCGCGCUUCGGCUAGGAUGCUGGCGUAAUAGUUGUAAACGACCCGUCUUGAAACACGGACCAAGGAGUCGACCAUUUAUGCGAGUAUUAGGGUGUCAAACCCUUCUGCGCAAUGAAAGUGAAUGCUGGUGAGAGCCCUUUAGGGUGCAUCAUCGACCGGACUGGAUAUUUUUGGAUGGUUCUGAGUAGGAGCAUGAACGGUCGGACCCGAAAGAUGGUGAACUUUGCUUGAAUAGGGUGAAGCCAGAGGAAACUCUGGUGGAGGCUCGCAGCGGUUCUGACGUACAAAUCGAUCGUCAAAUUUGGGCAAAGGGGCG
rnacentral:rRNA from 1 species